AGAGGGUGCGAGCGUUAAUCGGAAUUACUGGGGGGCGUAAAGGGGCGCGUAGGGUGGGGAUAGUAAGUUGGGAUGUGAAAGUCCCGGGCUUAACCUGGGAAGGCCAUCCAAAACUGUUGUUCUAGAGUACAGUAGAGGGAAGUGGAAUUUCCGGUGUAGCGGUGAAAUGCGUAGAUAUCGGAAGGAACACCAGUGGCGAAGGCGACUUCCUGGACUUUAACUGACACUGAGGCGCGAAAGCGUGGGUAGCGAACAGGAUUAGAUACCCUGGUAGUCCACGCCGUAAACGAUGAAGACUAGCCGUUGGGAGCCUUAGAGCUUUUAGUGGCGCAGCUAACGCGAUAAGUUUUCCGCCUGGGGAGUACGACCGCAAAGGUUA
rnacentral:rRNA from 1 species